GGAUAAAAAUGAUCAUUAAAGUCAUUGAAUGUUGGAUUUAUCAUCAUGGACAUGUUGGAACAAAGUCUCCGAAAAGACACUGAAGUUCCAGGCCGCACUACAAAUCUUCUGAAAGGGCCACGAUUGCACGGACGGCCUGCCUGUAGCGGCGCAAGUGUUAGCUUCCCGUCAAAACGAACCGUUAACAUAUCCUUAGUCCAAUUCAUUGUGUGAAACCAUGAGCCAGUGCACACGGAAUCAGCUUGAUUGCAUGCCAACAAGAAGAUAAAAGACUCGGAGAGAGGUGAAAGGUGGUGAUGACUCCAGGGAACCACAUAUGGAAAAGAACAAAAAGUCCACAGAAGAUUAAUUUACCAAGGAAGUGGGGUCCUUGGGAAUUCUCUCCGACAUCCCUGCCCAUCUUCCACAAGAGGUCAGAGUGCACGGUUGCAUACAGAACUACAUCACUAAUGGUGGGAGCAAUGCCAAAUUUUUUCCAAGGACACUUCCAUGCAUGCAAGGAGAGAGGUGAAUUUAGAAAUGAAUUGUGUUUAAUUGCAUGUAUACAUUUACUUGCAAUCCCAGGUGGACAAUGAUGCUUCGUUAGAAAGCUAGAAUGAAAAGUCAAAAUUGAAAACCACUGCACCACAAUGCAGUCAUGUCCAUGUCGAAUUAAAUCAAGCUGUCUCCUGGUCAGUGCCACCACCCACCAAACAUACACACUCCCAUCAACAAACAGAGAGCGCUGUCAAAUAAAGCACCACUUGUAAUUAUGGGAGGGGGUGAAAAUCAGAUUUAUUUAUUCCAAAAUGAAGCCUGCCGAUCGACGGAGGGACAGCUCUUCUCCAUCUGUCAUCGUUGAAGCCACACACGUCUGACACAGGGAUUCAUUCAUCUUGUCGUCUUUGACAGUUGGAUUUUCCCGGCGCACUCCCACCAGGAGUCGCACGGGAUUUUUGGAGGCAGACUUAAAAAGAAAACACUCCGUGACAAGGAGUAGGCUCUUUAUGAAUGCAAAUGAGUCUGGGAAAAUUCACAGAGCAGCUAGUGGGCUUCGAGGCAUCCGUCACAUCUUCUCCUACCGGGCACAACCCACGCUUUGCCAAGAGGUCUAAGGGCUUUCAGGGGCCCUACAGCAA